AAGGUCAGCUUCGGCUGAUACACGACCGGCGCACGGGUGAGUAACGCGUAUGCAACCUACCUGUAGCAGAGGGAUAGCCCGGAGAAAUUCGGAUUAAUACCUCAUAAUACUUAGAGAUCGCAUGAUUUUAUUUUAAAAUUCCGAUGGCUACAGAUGGGCAUGCGUGACAUUAGCUAGUUGGUGAGGUAACGGCUCACCAAGGCCACGAUGUCUAUGGGGUCUAAAAGGAUGGUCCCACACACUGGUACUGAGACACGGACCAGACUCCUACGGGAGGCAGCAGUGAGGAAUAUUGGUCAAUGGGCGCAAGCCUGAACCAGCCAUGCCGCGUGCAGGAUGACGGUCCUAUGGAUUGUAAACUGCUUUUCUGUUAGACGAAACCUCUCUACGUGUAGAGAGUUGCCGGUACAGCAGGAAUAAGCAUCGGCUAACUCCGUGCCAGCAGCCGCGGUAAUACGGAGGAUGCAGGCGUUAUCCGGAUUUAUUAGGUUUAAAGGGUGUGUAGGCGGGAUAAUAAGUCAGAGGUGAAAUCCAACAGCUUAACUGUUGAACUGCCUUUGAUACUGUUAUUCUUGAAUAUAGUUGAGGUUAGCGGAAUGUGUAAUGUAGCGGUGAAAUGCUUAGAUAUUACACAGAACACCGAUUGUGAAGGCAGCUAACUAAGCUAUUAUUGACGCUGAUGCACGAAAGCGUGGGGAGCGAACAGGAUUAGAUACCCUGGUAGUCCACGCUGUAAACGAUGAUUACUCGUUGUUGGCAAUACAUAGUCAGCGACUGAGCGAAAGCAUUAAGUAAUCCACCUGGGGAGUACGUUCGCAAGAAUGAAACUCAAAGGAAUUGACGGGGGCCCGCACAAGCGGAGGAACAUGUGGUUUAAUUCGAUGAUACGCGAGGAACCUUACCUGGGCUUAAAUGUAGAAUGACCGCUUCCGAAAGGGAGCUUUCUUCGGACAAUUUACAAGGUGCUGCAUGGCUGUCGUCAGCUCGUGCCGUGAGGUGUCGGGUUAAGUCCCAUAACGAGCGCAACCCCUAUCAUUAGUUGCCAGCGCGUAAAGGCGGGGACUCUAGUGAGACUGCCACCGUAAGGUGUGAGGAAGGUGGGGAUGACGUCAAGUCAGCACGGCCCUUACGUCCAGGGCUACACACGUGUUACAAUGGCCGACACAAAGGGCAGCUACCUGGCAACAGGAUGCUAAUCUCGAAAUUCGGUCUUAGUUCGGAUUGAAGUCUGCAACUCGACUUCAUGAAGUUGGAUUCGCUAGUAAUCGUAUAUCAGCAAUGAUACGGUGAAUACGUUCCCGGGCCUUGUACACACCGCCCGUCAAGCCAUGGAAGCCGGGGGUACCUGAAGUUCGUAACCGUAAGGAUCGGCCUAGGGUAAAACUGGUAACUGGGGCUAAGUCGGAACAAGGUA
rnacentral:rRNA from 1 species